rnacentral:rRNA from 1 species
GACUCCUGGCUCAGGAUGAACGCUAGCUACAGGCUUAACACAUGCAAGUCGAGGGGAAACGACAUCGAAAGCUUGCUUUUGAUGGGCGUCGACCGGCGCACGGGUGAGUAACGCGUAUCCAACCUGCCCACCACUUGGGGAUAACCUUGCGAAAGUAAGACUAAUACCCAAUGACAUCCCACGAAGACAUCUGAAUGGGAUUAAAGAUUUAUCGGUGAUGGAUGGGGAUGCGUCUGAUUAG